rnacentral:rRNA from 1 species
GACGAACGCUGGCGGCGUGCUUAACACAUGCAAGUCGAACGGAAAGGCCUUUUCGGAGGUACUCGAGUGGCGAACGGGUGCGUAACACGUGGGUGAUCUGCCCUUCACUCUGGGAUAAGCCUGGGAAACUGGGUCUAAUACCGGUUCGGACCGCUCUUUAGUGUGUGUGGGGGCAAGUUUUUUCGGUGUAGGAUGAGCCCGCGGCCUAUCAGCUUGUUGGUGGGGUAAUGGCCUACCAAGGCGGCGACGGGUAGCCGGACUGAGGGGUUGGUCGGCCACAUUGGGACUGAGAGACGGCCCAGACUCCUACGGGAGGCAGCAGUGGGGAAGAUUGCACAAUGAGCGCAAGCCUGAUGCAGCGACGCCGCGUGGGGGAUGACGGCCUUCGGGUUGUAAACUCCUUUCGCCAGGGACGAAGCGUUUUGUGACGGUACCUGGAGAAGAAGCACCGGCUAACUACGUG